UACGUAGGUCCCGAGCGUUGUCCGGAUUUAUUGGGCGUAAAGCGAGCGCAGGUGGUUUAUUAAGUCUGAUGUAAAAGGCAGUGGCUCAACCAUUGUAUGCAUUGGAAACUGGUAGACUUGAGUGCAGGAGAGGAAAGUGGAAUUCCAUGUGUAGCGGUGAAAUGCGUAGAUAUAUGGAGGAACACCGGUGGCGAAAGCGGCUCUCUGGCCUGUAACUGACACUGAGGCUCGAAAGCGUGGGGAGCAAACAGG
rnacentral:rRNA from 1 species